AUUGAACGCUGGCGGCAGGCCUAACACAUGCAAGUCGAACGGUAACAGGAAGCAGCUUGCUGCUUUGCUGACGAGUGGCGGACGGGUGAGUAAUGUCUGGGAAACUGCCCGAUGGAGGGGGAUAACUACUGGAAACGGUAGCUAAUACCGCAUAACGUCGCAAGACCAAAGAGGGGGACCUUAGGGCCUCUUGCCAUCGGAUGUGCCCAGAUGGGAUUAGCUAGUAGGUGGGGUAACGGCUCACCUAGGCGACGAUCCCUAGCUGGUCUGAGAGGAUGACCAGCCACACUGGAACUGAGACACGGUCCAGACUCCUACGGGAGGCAGCAGUGGGGAAUAUUGCACAAUGGGCGCAAGCCUGAUGCAGCCAUGCCGCGUGUAUGAAGAAGGCCUUCGGGUUGUGAAGUACUUUCAGCGGGGAGGAAGGGAGUAAAGUUAAUACCUUUGCUCAUUGACGUUACCCGCAGAAGAAGCACCGGCUAACUCCGUG
rnacentral:rRNA from 1 species